AACGAACGCUGGCGGCAUGCCUAACACAUGCAAGUCGAACGAGACCUUCGGGUCUAGUGGCGCACGGGUGCGUAACGCGUGGGAACCUCCCCUAGGUUCGGAAUAACUCCCCGAAAGGGGUGCUAAUACCGGAUAAUGUCUUCGGACCAAAGAUUUAUCGCCUUUGGAUGGGCCCGCGUUGGAUUAGCUAGUUGGUAGGGUAAAAGCCUACCAAGGCGACGAUCCAUAGCUGGUCUGAGAGGAUGAUCAGCCACACUGGGACUGAGACACGGCCCAGACUCCUACGGGAGGCAGCAGUGGGGAAUAUUGGACAAUGGGCGAAAGCCUGAUCCAGCAAUGCCGCGUGAGUGAUGAAGGCCUUAGGGUUGUAAAGCUCUUUUACCCGGGAUGAUAAUGACAGUACCGGGAGAAUAAGCUCCGGCUAACUCCGUG
rnacentral:rRNA from 1 species